rnacentral:misc_RNA from 1 species
GAUGAAGAACGCAGCGAAAUGCGAUAAGUAGUGUGAAUUGCAGAAUUCAGUGAAUCAUCGAAUCGUUGAACGCACAUUGCGCCCCUUGGUAUUCCAUGGGGCAUGCCUGUUCGAGCGUCAUUUGUACCUUCAAGCUUUGCUUGGUGUUGGGUGUUUGUCUCGCCUUUGCGUGUAGACUCGCCUUAAAAUAAUUGGCAGCCGGCGUAUUGAUUUCGGAGCGCAGUACAUCUCGCGCUUUGCACUCAUAACGACAGCGUCCAAAAGUACAUUUUACACUCUUGACCUCGGAUCAGGUAGGGAUACCCGCUGAACUUAAGCAUAUCAAUAAGCGGAGGA